CGACAGUUUCUGGCGUCAUCUUAUUGGUUGAUUUGAGUCAGGUUCACGGGUUACUUUGGAUUCGAAAACUAUAUUCCCGCCCAGGAUUCUUCUCGUCUCUUCUUCAACGGCUGUUUUUAGAAGUCCUCCAAUCCACCAUCAGCGAGACCGAACUCCUCCAGUCCAGCUACAGAUAAGCUGCUGACCCAUUUCAGAGGAGGAACAUUGGCCAUGACCCAAAAGGACCACUAAAUCCUCAACUUUUUCUUGACACUUCUGCGGUGAGAAAAAUUCCCUAACAAAAAAAAUGGUCAUAUCAAGAGAUGGCUUCAGCUUGCUCCGGAUUGGGAUGGAGGAAGAAGAGAACGGCUGAAGAGAAAGGAGAUGAUAAAUAGCUGUGCCUCUCAUUUAGAGCCUCAAUAGCUUAUGCGUGCGAACACAUACGAAAUACAUUCAUUUCCUUUUCAUGUGCACACACGCAGUUAUGUGUUAUGUUGUUUAUAAAGUUUAAUUUUGUCUUUCUUUGGUUUAUAACGUUUUCAUUUAGUCCGUAUUCGGUUUCAUUUUUUCAA